rnacentral:lncRNA from 1 species
AUUGAAGAUGAAGAGGGAGGGGAAAUGGAACAAACACAAAUUGGUCAUGGAAGAACAUUUAUAAAAAAAAAAUCAUUCAUUCAUUCAUUUUGGGAGAUGAAAUGUACAUUUCAUCAAUCCCCUAAAUCCAAUGAUUUUAAUCCAACAAAUUCAAAUCAACCUUGACCAAGGCCCAAGCAACAAAAGUCAGACUCAACAAGUCAAUACAAAUAGCUCUACACAAUUUAUUUCAAUUAAACAAAUUAAAAAUC